GGUAAAGGCUCACCAAGGCGACGAUCUGUAGCGGGUCUGAGAGGAUGAUCCGCCACACUGGAACUGAGGCACGGUCCAGACUCCUACGGGAGGCAGCAGUGGGGAAUUUUGGACAAUGGGGGCAACCCUGAUCCAGCCAUGCCGCGUGAGUGAAGAAGGCCUUCGGGUUGUAAAGCUCUUUCGGCCGGGAAGAAAUCGUAUGGGUUAAUACCCUGUGCGGAUGACGGUACCGGCAUAAGAAGCACCGGCUAACUACGUGCCAGCAGCCGCGGUAAUACGUAGGGUGCGAGCGUUAAUCGGAAUUACUGGGCGUAAAGCGUGCGCAGGCGGUUUUGUAAGACAGGCGUGAAAUCCCCGGGCUCAACCUGGGAACUGCGCUUGUGACUGCAAGGCUAGAGUAUGGCAGAGGGGGGUGGAAUUCCACGUGUAGCAGUGAAAUGCGUAGAGAUGUGGAGGAACACCAAUGGCGAAGGCAGCCCCCUGGGCCAAUACUGACGCUCAUGCACGAAAGCGUGGGUAGCAAACAGGAUUAGAUACCCUGGUAGUCCACGCCCUAAACGAUGUCAACUAGGUGUUGGGUGGGUAAAACCAUUUAGUACCGGAGCUAACGCGUGAAGUUGACCGCCUGGGGAGUACGGCCGCAAGGUUAAAACUCAAAGGAAUUGACGGGGACCCGCACAAGCGGUGGAUGAUGUGGAUUAAUUCGAUGCAACGCGAAAAACCUUACCUACCCUUGACAUGUCCAGGAGCCUGAAGAGAUUUGGGUGUGCCCGAAAGGGAACUGGAACACAGGUGCUGCAUGGCUGUCGUCAGCUCGUGUCGUGAGAUGUUGGGUUAAGUCCCGCAACGAGCGCAACCCUUGUCGUUAAUUGCCAUCAUUUAGUUGGGCACUUUAACGAGACUGCCGGUGACAAACCGGAGGAAGGUGGGGAUGACGUCAAGUCCUCAUGGCCCUUAUGGGUAGGGCUUCACACGUCAUACAAUGGUCGGUACAAAGGGUUGCCAACCCGCGAGGGGGAGCCAAUCCCAGAAAGCCGAUCGUAGUCCGGAUUGCAGGCUGCAACUCGCCUGCAUGAAGUCGGAAUCGCUAGUAAUCGUGGAUCAGCAUGUCACGGUGAAUACGUUCCCGGGUCUUGUACACACCGCCCGUCACACCAUGGGAGCGGGUUCCGCCAGAAGUAGGUAGCCUAACCGCAAGGGGGGCGCUUACCACGGCGGGGUUCGUGACUGGGGUGAAGUCGUAACAAGGUA
rnacentral:rRNA from 1 species